GCAGUGGUGGUUCAAUGGUAGAAUUCUUGCCCUCCAUUCAGGAUACCUAGGUUCCAAUCUAUGCCAGUGCA
rnacentral:tRNA from 1 species